GUGCAAGGAGGGAAAACACGUCCAGCAUAUUGUGCUUCCUUUGACAAGCUCUGCGUGUAGCCUCACUGGCAUUCAGUAGUCUAGACAAAAAUCAGUAUAAGCACUGACAGUCAGGCUACAUCUUACCAGAUUGGGUCUGAUUUGUAAUUUUAUAAAUAGCAUUCAGCCUUUGGAUUUAGUAAAGGAAUUUAUGGUUAAAUUAGUGUCAUGCUACUUCCCUGCAUAAAUAAUAAUGCCAACAUUGGUUAAAACUCUGGAACCAUUUCCAAUUUAUAGCACACGGAGGCUCAGAUGGUUGAGUAGUGAAACCCUUGACGUCUCUGUGCAGAACACAGCGUAUCAGCCAUGUUUAACAAAUAUACCCCUUUCAUGCCACUGAAUAUUCUUGAUACAAUUUGCUAUUCCAUUGAAAAUGGUCACAAGGGCAGAAGCAUUUCUGAUCAACAGUGGGAUUAAUUGGAAGCACAACAAAUAGUUCAUCCUUCAUUUUUUCACUAAACCUUUAAUACUUUAAAUAUAAAAGGCAUUUGGGCUUUUCAGCUGUUAGUUUUUCCCUUAAGAAAUCUGUUGUCAGACCAUCACUAGCACUUUAAAAUGACAAAGUAAACAGAUCGGGAAUGAAAGUUAAAUUCAUGGCAGGAGUGUCUGUCUGCAUUACUGUAGUACCGGAAUAGACUCUUAGAUCUGGACUAUUGUACAGUAGAAAUUAAAAACAACACAUGAACCAUGAGGUCACAUCUGAUUCAUUUCUAAAUCACUGACACAUACAUAAUUUAAUUUAAAAAGUGAAGUUCAGACUUGUCCUUACAUUGCAAAAUGGUAUUACUCUGGUCAAGUGAGGCAAUAAAACAAUCACUGAAUUCCUACAUUAAUAUUCAAAGAAGGCACUUUGCUGUGAAGUUAAUAUAUUCACUUUGAUCUGUUACAGUCAUUCUGAAACAUCAUUGUGUGCUACCUUGUGAUCUGGUCUUGUCCACUGAAUUUGGGUAUCAUCAACUUUCAGUUUUCCUAUAAUGAUUCAUUACACAGAUACAUUGAGUGGAUAUCCAGGAGCAUUUCACAGUUUGAAGGUGAACACAUGCUGCCCAACCCCUGCACAUUCAAACCUGUGAUCAGAAGCUCUUGUCAAGGCAUCAUAUCUUGCUUGUGCAAGUCUUAUGUGCCAGUGGAUGAGCAGAAGAACCUCUGCUGGCUGGAACCUGCAGAGCUGCCCCUGUAGCAGAGAGGCUGAUUGCUCAUCUGGGUAGCUGGAAACAUGACUUGUGACCCACGCAGGAUUUAUCCCUGAAAACAUACAGGAAUCCUGCACAGUCGAGGAACGUACACAAGAUUUCCUUGGCCAAUGCCCUCCUAAAUUUGCUGCCAGUGAGAAGCAUUAAGCCAUGGCAUAGGUUCAGGGUACCUGGGGAAACGUCCUCCCAUAAGGCUUUUUAAAGGGAAAGUGGUCAGAGCACUGGAAAGCAUGCUGUAUGGAACAAUCCUGUACUGUCCUUGAUGAAAUGGAAAAGGCCUAUUAGCUCACGCAGUUCAGCUCCAACGUCUAUGCUUCAGUUGACAAAUAAGAAUGGUAGCAGCUCAGGAGAGAAAGCGUUUGCACCAUCAUAGAAAGACACCAGUGACUGUAAAUUUAGAGUCGCACAGGCUUGUAGUGUGCAAUUCCUGUUAAAACCGAGAGUUAGGUGACUAAAACCUUGCAAAACUUUGGAAAUUUGGGCGGGGGGGAAGACAGACAUGUGAAAGGAAGAUUAAUGAGCUUAGAUGCACAAAAAUCAGGAACUGCCCAAGCUUCUCAUUACUAAGCAAGCGCAACAGGCCCAUAUACAAAAACUGCCUCCAGCUUGAGAAGGAAAAUUGACAUGGCUAGAUGAACAGGAGACAUGUCAGCUCAGAGGAUAAAGGACUUCUCUGCCUUCCCCACCCCCAAAAAACAAAGUUAUAAGCACCUGAAAAUGAACGUAUUUCUGCCACCAUAGCAAAAGGUAUAUGACUACCAUGAAGGACACCAUGUAACAGUAUGUUAGCCUCUGACUCCACACUUUAAUUGCCUGAUUAAAAUUCAGCAUCCUUCUUAGCAAAGGUUAUUUCCCAGAGAUGUGAAACUCAGAGGUUGGUAUGAUUACACCAGUAGAAUACAAAGUUAUAACAGAGGAGGCAAAAGAGGGAGCAGGGUUUUUUUUAGCCAGAUUGGCAGCAAAAAGGUUUCAGCACACUGGUGUUCAGUUCACCAUCUCCACUCACGUUGUUUGCAAUAAAUCAGUACUGAGCAUAUAUGACUGGGAGUUCCCGCAAUACAGAUAUUCUUCCCGGAAGAGGCCAUGGAACAUUUCUGGAAUUGGACUAUUUACUAUUAUUCAUGAAUGUAGCGAGGCAAAAAAGGAAAAACAGAGAAGAACUUUUCCAGGGCAUGGACUGGAUUUUAUUAACAAUCUAAUAGUGUCAGAGUUUAAUGCAUUUAGCAUGAAGGGCUGCAGGUGCUAGCCCGUAGUGCUAUGUUAGGUCAGCUUGAAGAAUGACAACUUGCAAAGGACUGCUUUUUCUUUCACAGUGCUCAUCCUCUUACUAAAGAAAAAUAGUGGACAAUGAUUACUAGCAACUUAAAGCUCAGCAACUGCUCCAGCUUUACUCCAUCUAAAUAAAAUCUCUUGCUCCCCUAUAAAAUAGAAUUACUGAUGCCUGGGCUACCCCUCUCAUAAAGUAAGUUAAGGUCACUGUUAGUGAGCUGGACACUUUAGGUCAGUAUUAAGACCAAGUCUCUGUCCUGAGGAACUCAUAAGUCAAAAGAGAGAGCACAGCCAAAGAUUGGGAUGACAUAAACCGCAGCAGUGUUAUGAGUGAACAGAGAUACCUGCUUCUUAAUUUGAGUUUAACCUUGGUUUUGUAUUUUGUUCAUCUGAGAAACCUCUGCUGAGGGCAGAACUAAGGCUCUCAGCCUUUCAGAAGCAGAGUGCUUUGAGGAGAGACUUGAAAGAGAAGGUGAAGGCAUGACUGACUGGGCUAGGGAGGGGUUUCCAGGAAUCUGAGGCCACGUGGAACAAGGCCUGGAGACAAGAGUGGGAGGAGGACAUGAAGGGGGUGGUUAGUCAUGCAGCUUGGGUGGAGCAGACAGGGUAAGGGGGCGAGGCAAAAGGAGAAACAUUUCUAGUGAAGCGACACCUAUUAGGCUACAGCAUGGCUGAUAAUCAGCACUGAAAACAGGCUGCAAUUUAGUGUUGCAGCUGGUUUGUCAGCUACUGUGGGAAGAUACUUGAGAACGUGUGGUGUGGUCAGGCACGUAAUUAAAUACAGCUCCACUUUAAUGACAGGCUGUAGCGGCAAUUCCUAAAUUCAUACUCUGCCUGAGAGGAAUUCAAAAAAGCCCCAAUGCUCUUAUAGACUGUAUUAAACCCAAGCACAGAAAUACUGCUGAGAUGAUGUAUUCUAGUAGAUCUCAAACUAGCAGGGGAACAGACUCACCUGGGUGGGUCCAGAGCAGACAACAAUAGGACUGGAAAAACAGGCAAGUGGUUACUUGAAAGCCACUUAACUUUCCUCUGGGCUUCCACAACAACCCUCACUGCAGAGGGCUUUAGGGACAGCACAAGCCCAGUGACCCACAUUUCUCCUUUACUCCACUGGUACUCAGUGAACCUGCAAGUAUAUAUGCGACUGGCCGAUGAUGCCACCAACAGCUCUGAGCAGGGUUAGAUGAGAUUGUGGUAAAGUCACCAUGCCACCAGAACUACAGCAAUGGUGGGAAUUUUUAAGAGAGCUUCAUGCAGGUGUAGCCUAGAGGUCUCUAACUAUAAGAGCUAAAUAAUUAGCUUUUGUUGCAAAAAUAAAAAGCCGUAGGUGUGGAAAUUCAGUGGAUAUGGAACCCCUAUAAACAUGGGCCCUACUUUCCUUGAAAUAUCACUUACCUACCUCACAGGGUUAUUUGGACUUACUAGCUAACGUGCUUAGAUUACAAGAUCAUUAAGUCAGGGACUUUAUCUGCGUGCUUGUCUAUUCAUUGGUGCUAUGUACUAAUAUCUUUUCAGGGUUCAUGCACUAGGUAAGUAUUGUGUUAUAUAAACAAUGCUGCCAGCGUCUUUCCUAUUGAACAGAAAAAUUAGUUUGAGUAUAGAGUUAUACUUUAUUUCACCUAGAAAAAACAUCCCUUCCCCUACCUUCCCUCUGUCCACUUUUGGACUUUUUAGCCUCUGAGCUCUUCAGGUCAGGAACACUACUGACCUCUUUUGUGUUUGCACAGCGGGUAGCACAUUGUGGGUGCUACCGGAAACAAUAAUCAAUAAUAAUAGGUUUACUAAUCUUGAUAGGCUGUGUAUCAUGAAUUUAUGGCACAUCUUAUUGGCCAACAUGAUAAAUUAGAGACACACCCUAAAAUAGGCUGGCAAAGCUACACAAUGAAAUGAAACAAGAACAGAAGAUGUAUGCAACGUGAAUGAGUAAACACUGCUGUAGGAACCUUAAGAUUAGAUCAAGAAUUGCAAAAGUUAACUGUGAAGCCUUAAAAUGUUGUAUUAACAUGGUUUGCAUUUAUGCAAAUUUUCCUUUUAGAAAAACCACACU